UACGGAGGGAGCUAGCGUUGUUCGGAAUCACUGGGCGUAAAGCGCACGUAGGCGGCUAUUCAAGUCAGGGGUGAAAGCCCGGGGCUCAACCCCGGAACUGCCUUUGAAACUAGAUAGCUUGAAUCUUGGAGAGGCGAGUGGAAUUCCGAGUGUAGAGGUGAAAUUCGUAGAUAUUCGGAAGAACACCAGUGGCGAAGGCGACUCGCUGGACAAGUAUUGACGCUGAGGUGCGAAAGCGUGGGGAGCAAACAGG
rnacentral:rRNA from 1 species